AUUUUGGCAGAGCGUUCAGUCCUCUUUAGACUUCUGAAGUGUGCAUAUUGUUAAAAAAUGUGUGUUUUAAUAUUCUAUUUAAAUUUCGAGUUUAGUUCGUGGAGAACAUGUGACAACGAACACCUACGUAGACGAUUUGAUCAAGUCACGAAGACUAAAUUGCACCUGGGCCAAAAUCUGUCAAGGGAACUGUGUCGCAGAUGAUUUGAGUCAUCUGACCUUCAACCAUUUAUUUUUGCAGUUUAUUACUUAAUUUUCAUAACUAGAGAGUUUUAACUUUAAACCAUGGUGUAUUAGAUUAAACUGUGAUUUGAUGAAAUUGUUUAAAUGCCACAAAUAUCAGUUUUAAUUCACCUAGUCCAAUAGCGAUUUGUGUGUGCUUUAGCAAUUGAAUUAUAAUUGUGGUUUAACAGGAUUAGCUAAUAUUUCUGUAUCUUUCAGUUUAACUGGAGGUUUGACCAUUCACCUGUGGAAAGUGGAAUGAAAUGAAGGAAGUCACAGCUGAAACUGGAUUUUCAACGAUCCAGUACUGAUGGGAGUUGGUGAAACAUCUCUUGCAGCAAAAACACCUGUAAUGACACCGCCUGCAGUGUCUACUGCAUGUCCUACGGACAAUUCAUCCAGAAGUGACACCUCCACUACAGUGAAUACUGCCAAUCGAUCAGGCAAAAGGAUGCGUGACGAUGCAGACGAUGUUAUGCGGGAAGCCCUACACCAGCUGAGGGAAUUGUUGUCUACGCAGGACACUGCUGAUGUUUGUACUGCUUUUGCAACCGUAGUUGCAAAUAAUCUUCGACAAUUGAAAGGGGAAACCAAAAUUUAUGCAGAAAAACUAAUUAAUGAAGUUCUUUUUCUUGCUAAACUUUGUCGUCUUUCGUCGACAUCAAUGGUUAAAGAGUAGUUUUUCACAUUUAUAUUGCUGUUUAUUGUUUAUAUAAAUUACCAUUACUUGUUUUUUUUUGGGGGGAAGGGUUCGUCAGGAUACACAAUUUGACAUUAUUCAUAAUUAGCAUAGAAAAUAUAAGAUUACUUGGUGUGAAAGUGAU